rnacentral:rRNA from 1 species
CAGCCGCCGCGGGAAUACGAAGGGUGCAAGCGUUAAUCGGAAUUACUGGGCGUAAAGCGUGCGUAGGCGGUGAGUUAAGUCUGCUGUGAAAUCCCCGGGCUCAACCUGGGAAUGGCAGUGGAUACUGGCUCGCUAGAGUGUGUCAGAGGAUGGUGGAAUUCCCGGUGUAGCGGUGAAAUGCGUAGAGAUCGGGAGGAACAUCAGUGGCGAAGGCGGCCAUCUGGGUCAACACUGACGCUGAGGCACGAAAGCGUGGGGAGCAAACAGGAUUAGAUACCCCAGUAGUCCCUGUCUCUUAUAC